CAUCCUCCAAGGCUAAAUACUCCUGACUGACCGAUAGUGAACCAGUACCGUGAGGGAAAGGCGAAAAGAACCCCGGCGAGGGGAGUGAAAAAGAACCUGAAACCGUGUACGUACAAGCAGUGGGAGCACCCUUUGGGGUGUGACUGCGUACCUUUUGUAUAAUGGGUCAGCGACUUAUAUUCUGUAGCAAGGUUAACCGUAUAGGGGAGCCGUAGGGAAACCGAGUCUUAACCGGGCGUUAAGUUGCAGGGUAUAGACCCGAAACCCGGUGAUCUAGCCAUGGGCAGGUUGAAGGUUGGGUAACACUAACUGGAGGACCGAACCGACUAAUGUUGAAAAAUUAGCGGAUGACCUGUGGCUGGGGGUGAAAGGCCAAUCAAACCGGGAGAUAGCUGGUUCUCCCCGAAAGCUAUUUAGGUAGCGCCUCGUGAAUUCAUCUCCGGGGGUAGAGCACUGUUUCGGCUAGGGGGCCAUCCCGGCUUACCAACCCGAUGCAAACUGCGAAUACCGGAGAAUGUUAUCACGGGAGACACACGGCGGGUGCUAACGUCCGUCGUGAAGAGGGAAACAACCCAGACCGCCAGCUAAGGUCCCAAAGUCAUGGUUAAGUGGGAAACGAUGUGGGAAGGCCCAGACAGCCAGGAUGUUGGCUUAGAAGCAGCCAUCAUUUAAAGAAAGCGUAAUAGCUCACUGGUCGAGUCGGCCUGCGCGGAAGAUGUAACGGGGCUAAACCAUGCACCGAAGCUGCGGCAGCGACGCUUAUGCGUUGUUGGGUAGGGGAGCGUUCUGUAAGCCUGUGAAGGUGUGUCGUGAGGCAUGCUGGAGGUAUCAGAAGUGCGAAUGCUGACAUAAGUAACGAUAAAGCGGGUGAAAAGCCCGCUCGCCGGAAGACCAAGGGUUCCUGUCCAACGUUAAUCGGGGCAGGGUGAGUCGACCCCUAAGGC
rnacentral:rRNA from 1 species